CGCGAAUGGCUCAUUACAACAGCUAUAAUUUACUUGAUCUUGACAAUCCUACUUGGAUAACUGUGGUAAUUCUAGAGCUAAUACAUGCACCAAAGCUCUGACCUUACGGGAAGAGUGCAUUUAUUAGAACAAAACCAAGCGGCUUCGGUCGUUUUUUGUUGACUCAGAAUAACUAAGCUGAUCGCAUGGUCUUGUACCGGCGACAUGUCUUUCAAGUAUCUGCCUUAUCAACUUUCGAUGGUAGUGUAUCUGACUACCAUGGUUGUGACGGGUAACGGAGGAUAAGGGUUCGACUCCGGAGAAGGGGCCUGAGAAAUGGCCACUACGUCUAAGGAUGGCAGCAGGCGCGCAAAUUACCCACUCUCAGCACGAGGAGGUAGUGACGAAAAAUAACGAGGCGGUUCUCUAAGAGGCCCGCUAUCGGAAUGGGUACAAUUUAAACCCUUUAACGAGGACCUAUGAGAGGGCAAGUCUGGUGCCAGCAGCCGCGGUAAUUCCAGCU
rnacentral:rRNA from 1 species